CAGACGAAAAGACGUCCACAAGAGCCCCAAUACCAAGCUAGGCUUGAGUGGUGUAAUGACGCUCGAACAGGCAUGCCCCGGAAUACCAGAGGGCGCAAUGUGCGUUCAAAGAUUCGAUGAUUCACUGAAUUCUGCAAUUCACAUUACUUAUCGCAU